AGCGAACGCUGGCGGCAGGCCUAACACAUGCAAGUCGAACGAAGUCUUCGGACUUAGUGGCGGACGGGUGAGUAACACGUGGGAACGUGCCUUUAGGUUCGGAAUAACUCAGGGAAACUUGUGCUAAUACCGCAUGUGCCCUUCGGGGGAAAGAUUUAUCGCCUUUAGAGCGGCCCGCGUCUGAUUAGCUAGUUGGUGAGGUAAAGGCUCACCAAGGCUACGAUCAGUAGCUGGUCUGAGAGGAUGACCAGCCACAUUGGGACUGAGACACGGCCCAAACUCCUACGGGAGGCAGCGGUGGGGAAUCUUGCGCAACGGGCGAAAGCCUGACGCAGCCAUGCCGCGUGGAUGAUGAAGGUCUUAGGAUUGUAAAAUCCUUUCACCGGUGAAGAUAAUGACUGUAGCCGGAGAAGAAGCCCCGGCUAACUUCGUGCCAGCCGCCGCCGUAAUAC
rnacentral:rRNA from 1 species